UACGUAGGGUCCAAGCGUUAUCCGGAAUUACUGGGCGUAAAGAGUUGCGUAGGUGGCAUAGUAAGUGAAUAGUGAAAGCGUGUGGCUCAACCAUACAUCCAUUAUUUAAACUGCUAAGCUAGAAGACGAGAGAGGUAGAUGGAAUUCCUGAUGUAGGGGUAAUAUCCGUAGAUAUUAGGAGGAACACCGAUGGCGUAAGCAGUCUACUGGCUCGUUCUUGACACUAAGGCACGAAAGCGUGGGGAGCAAACAGG
rnacentral:rRNA from 1 species